UGUGGUCGGUUAAUUGUAUGGCAAGCCAAAUCCUGAAUAGAACUGAUCUACUUCAAAGUAAGUAGUCGCUACACCCCUGGUUCGGGAAUUUCAAGAGAACCUCAAUGGCAUGGAGAGGAUUCCCAAAGUACUAUUAAACCUGUAUUCAAACCAGGGGAACUGUGCCCUCUGGCAUGGAGUCUGUAGAUCAGGUACUCAGGGCUGGCUGUACUGGGAGGAGGCUUAUUGUUUUCUGGCCUAUGGUCACGCACCAAGGCGCUAACAACACUUGUGCAAAGCGGGGAAUGCAUUUGAAGACAUCACUGCAGCUGCAUAAUAUGUGGUUGAAUAACCCUGAUGUUGCCCUCGUGGGUUAACAACUUAUGCACUGACUGCAGACCGUUGAAUGCUAUGGUGGUCAAGACACGCCUAGUACCUAGCGAACUCGCGUCAACACACGUCUGCCCACCCUAGCGCAGAGCUCUCCUUCUUACCAUCAUCAUUUUACAAAAUUCUUGUGUGUCGAACCAUUUGUACCAGCCCGCUAUGUCAGAUACCACCAGUCUUGCUUUGACCGGCCGCCAUGCAGAAAUUGAUUUUGGUGGUGGUGAGAGGGAGAGCUCUGUGCCAGGUUGUAAGCUUACGGAGCUUGUGUGGGAAGGCCGCCAUUUCACCUUGUGUCUUUGCCCCUUUUAUUUGAAAUUAGCAUUUGAAGUUCGAACGCUCGAAUGUUGAUCAGCAUAAAAGUUUUGUUGAAGUGCGUUAUUUUGUUUAUUUGUUGUUGGUGCAUGCCCGUGUUGCUGGUUGUGCGGAGAGUCAAACCAUCUUCAGCUUGAGUCUUUAACAUUCGGGUGUGCUUCCGUCGUCCCCUUGUAAAGGAACUCCAUUUCAAUGUAGUUGAUUUGUUGUCAAUAGUCUCGGUGUGGAGAUUGCAGGGGGCUGGGAUUAGUAGGGUUCAACCAGUUGCAACACGUUCAACCAAGCGAUGCAUUUGAUGGGGGUACUCAUACUCUGCACAGCAGUGUAGAGUAUUAGCACCAGUGACAGGUUCAUGUACAAACUGUUCUUGCAGAAAGUGCAUGCACAGUCGAAUCGUGUUGCAGCUUUCCUAACACCCUUCGCAUUGUUCCCAGACAUGUAGAAAGUGAUGAAUUCUCCGUCUUCCUCUGUUGUUUUUGCUAAAGCUGCUGUGGGAGUCUUGCAGUUUGCACUUUUCAAACAUGAGAGAAAGAACAUUCUUUCAUAGAAAAUGACAUUCAUCCCAGCACUAAUCCAUACUCACUUGGAUCAAUUAAUUAUUUCCUUCACAGUAGAGUGAUGCAUCUGCCGGUAGUAACUGAAAUGGCACCGGCUCCGGCCCGGGUCAGGGACAGAGAAAAUCACACCAACAUUCGACAUGAGGGUUUUUCUACCGGUUAGAUUCUACCAUACUUCGUCAAAGUCAGGGUGGUUCCUCAUUCAUCCAACACUCCAAGAAGUAUUGGAAUUUGGUGUGGUUUGGCCGCACCUGCCGCACCAGUUACUAUGCCCUGAGCCCUGUGGAAUUGUUACUCGUGAAUUGGGUGGGGAAGAGUUAGCGAGUCAGCCUGACAGUUGUUGCACUGCGCGAUCAAAGCAACGCACCGUGCAGAGCUCCUAGGUAAACCAGAGUUGCAUUCUCGUCGGGACCACUCUUUGCGGUGGCUAUUGGGCAUAUUCCCGUCCGUUCACUGAUGCUCGCUCCUACUUUCAGUUGAGAUCACACUCCACGUCUCCCGCAUUAUGGUACUAGUACUACUACAGGAAGUCGACAUACAUGUAUCAAGAAGAGCAUAAAACAGGUAUAUACAAGAUAUUCCUUUCUUGACAGCACAGUUGAGUAACCGAAAGACUCCUGUGAAAACACUUGCCAAUUCUAACCGGUUCCUGUAGAAAACCAUCGUGGUCUGUGUGAGCUGAAGUAGUUUGUUGUUUCAUCGGUGCUCAUUGUUUAUGUUCGUGUAGUUUUCUUCCUUUCCUUUCACAGGAUCAGGACGUGUUGAUGUUAUGUCGUGCCGUACACUUGUCAAUGGCAGUGUCGGAUUUGCGUACUUCUUCACCGCUGUGUUUGUGUCACGUUCACUGACACACCGCUCUGAUGGGACUCCAUCUUGCUGCUGCUUCCGCGUUCGAUGCUGCAGCAUAGCACUUCACAAAAACGUCCACCAAGUGCACAACAACAGAGACCCCAAAGCGGCAGACCAAGAAAACAACUAUUACUUCUGAAGUACCUACACAAAUAGCCCAAACCCAAUCUGUGGACCUGUUGGCACUGGUGGCGGAGGAGACUUAACAAGGCCGACCAUGGAAGGAGCAUGUGCCGCCGCCUUUGCUACUGCCCGGGGCUCCCCUGCCAUCGGAGUUUGCGGCGGUGAAACGUGCCAGUGGCAGGCCACGCCAAACCCCAACAGCAACACCAACACUACAAUCAACUACUCAAACAAACCUACCUUCUGCCCCAAUGGCACCAACACCAGCGACAUAACCAACAACAACUACUCAAUAAACCAACAAUCGACAGACCGAGACGAGCGACCGCAAAUUACAACAGGACGUAUGCACUGAACAGACAGGACAAAUGGACGGACCAGAAAAGAAGGCGAUGCCGCAUGCAACAUGAUCGUGUCGGAUUGGCAGAGACACAACGGAUGAUGUAAGCAGUGAGCCAAGCAGCUCAGCGAGGAAGAGAGAGAGAGUGAAUAUGAGUGGUGGUGGGAGUCACAGUGUGGUACGUAGGUUUUGUAAGAGAACUUGUUCAGUGUAGAAUCAUCUCGUAGCUAGUCCUGAUUGUAACUCGUAUUCUGAUUCUUGUUUCACUAGUCUGUGCCGUGGUUGUCAUGGUGACAGGUUACAGUACAAUGGUUUUAGAAGCCAUUUUGCACUCAAACUAGUACCCGCAAGUUGGUUGUUCUCAUUUUUCAUUGUUUGAAUCACUUUUACUGUUCAGUGCUGUUAUUACAUGUAGGUCUUACCUCUCAUACUUAAGUUUCUACAAGAGUUCAUUUGUGUUACGUUUGUUGUUGUGUGUGUACAAUAAAUUAACAACAUUUUUGGAUUACAACAGUUUCAUUUAGAUCCAAACCGAUAUGGAGGACAUCACGUGUUGAGAUGAUCCCCUUUGGACUAUAUUUCCUGUUGCUACUGUGCACGAUUGCUCUUCAGUGAUACUUGGUGUGAUAACACUCAAUACUCAUCAUAUUAAAGCCUGUGUUGAAUUCUGGAUUCUUUUAUUGA